UCCCGUGUGGCUCAGUUAGUAGAGCAUGGUGUUUGCAACGCCAGGGUUGUAGGUUCGAUUCCCACGGGGG
rnacentral:tRNA from 1 species